CAUUUACUAAGGAAACCAACAGCAGGUUCCACUCCCUCAAACACCUCAGGUUCAUGACCAUCAUGAGGAUUGGUAUUUCCCUUUCAGGAACUAGCAGGUGGAGCUACUUCUCCCUAAGCAUUGGAACAACCACUAGGUGGGGCAGGGGCAAGCAGGUUCCUGUAAGUGGGGUGUAAGUGCAGCAGAAAUGCUCUAGCAGGGGACAGAGAAAGGGCAGGAGAACAGCCAUCAUGAGGGCAUGACCAUGCACCCCGACCCCCUACAUAACCUUGCACAACCCUUACAAUGAUGCCCCAUCCUAGACAUCCUUAGGCUCAGUCAGUACGUUGCUGGGUCAGCCCAGCAACCAAAUACCACAAAUGUAAUACAAGGGAAAGCAGCUGAGAAGUGUCAUUGUAAGCGAGGCUCUGCGCACCCAGGACAGGAAGAAGGCCUGUGUUUUUUGUCCUGGCUGCAGAACCACACGGUCUGUCCAUCCCCAGUCCCCACAGCAGAUGCCAUGUGAUAAGCCUUCCAAUGAGCCCUGUAGCAGCAUGGUUGUAAGGAAAAGUAGAAAUACCAGUGCUUACCAGCCUCAUCAGCCAUUCCUGAAAUCCAUGGUCAGUAAAGUGGGAUUCCUCGUUGCUCCAUGAAAAUUCUCACACACUCCUUUCCCCACACCGAAACUCGCCAUUCCUGAUAGCCACCAUGGGCCUCCUGCUGCUGAACCAAGAAGUGUGAUGAUUUCUGGACAUUAUCAGUCACCAGAGACAAACCCUCCCCUUUAUUAGAAAUGCAACUCGCCCCCCUCUACUCAGGGAGCUGGCUUUUUCUUGCCCCUUCUCCUUUGUGCACAUGCUCUUUGAAUAAAAAACUGCUUCCCCAA